rnacentral:lncRNA from 1 species
CCAGUUGGACACAAGGAACUCCCCAUGGCAAGAUGCAAGACAGAAGCAGGAUCACCUAGGGAGUCCUUGGGACAGAGCCCUGAGAAGGUCCCUUGUCCUCCUCAGAAUGAGAUGUGAAUGCGCACUAAACAUCUGUUGGGCUGACCCCUGGGCUUUUAGGGUUAGUAGUUACCCUAAGGUAGGCUUCGCUGUCCUGAUGAAUAUAGGGUAUGACUGAUCAAAGUGACAUAGAUGAAUUACAACUUUUGGAAGGUAAAUAUUAAGAUUAAAUAUUUUUUAAUUCUUGCCAGCCGCAAUGUAAUCCCAGCAGCUCAGGAGGCUAACACAGGAGGAUCACAAAUUCAAAGCUGGCCUCAGCAAAAGCAAGGUGCUAAGCAACUCAGUGAGAUCCUGUGUGUAAAUAAAAUACAAAAUAGAGCUGGGGAUGUGGCUCAGUGGUCGAGUGCCCUUGAGUUCAAACCCUGGUACCGCCCCCCCCUCCCAAUUUUAAUUCUUGAAAAAUGCAUCUCAAUAAAAAUCAAGAAUCUUGUUCAUAUAAAUGGGAAGGAAGGUGGACAUAACAGGGUCACUCAAUUUCCAUGGAGUUACACACACUUAGUGAUCUAUAAUAAAAAAUUAAACCACCUAUCAACUGACAACCGAAUCGAGUUCCAUUGCAAUGUUAUUGAAGGCAAAGAUUUAGCCACCCCUUGACUUACAAAGGAAUUUUCUACCCAGACUUUUAUCUUACCAAGAUUUCAAAUUAUUAUUAUUUUUUUUUCUGGAGCUCCAGAGUUACACCC